AUCCAGCUGACGGGUCCCAAAUAGGAUGAAACGCGAGUCCUGUAU
rfam:Schistosoma curassoni strain Dakar, Senegal genome assembly, scaffold: SCTD_scaffold0001550